CCUACGGGAGGCAGCAGUGGGGAAUAUUGCACAAUGGGCGCAAGCCUGAUGCAGCGACGCCGCGUGAGGGAUGACGGCCUUCGGGUUGUAAACCUCUUUCAGCAGGGAAGAAGCGCAAGUGACGGUACCUGCAGAAGAAGCGCCGGCUAACUACGUGCCAGCAGCCGCGGUAAUACGUAGGGCGCAAGCGUUGUCCGGAAUUAUUGGGCGUAAAGAGCUCGUAGGCGGCUCGUCGCGUCGGUUGUGAAAGCCCGGGGCUUAACUCCGGGUCUGCAGUCGAUACGGGCAGGCUAGAGUCCGGUAGGGGAGAUCGGAAUUCCUGGUGUAGCGGUGAAAUGCGCAGAUAUCAGGAGGAACACCGGUGGCGAAGGCGGAUCUCUGGGCCGAUACUGACGCCGAGGAGCGAAAGCGUGGGGAGCGAACAGGAUUAGAUACCCUGGUAGUC
rnacentral:misc_RNA from 1 species